rnacentral:rRNA from 1 species
UACGAAGGGGGCUAGCGUUGUUCGGAUUUACUGGGCGUAAAGGGCGCGUAGGCGGCGCACCAAGUCAGGCGUGAAAGCCCUGGGCUCAACCCGGGAAUUGUGCUUGAGACUGGUGUGCUUGAGUACGGGAGAGGAUAGUGGAAUUCCCAGUGUAGAGGUGAAAUUCGUAGAUAUUGGGAAGAACACCGGUGGCGAAGGCGGCUAUCUGGACCGUAACUGACGCUGAGGCGCGAAAGCGUGGGGAGCAAACAGG